ensembl:lncRNA
GAAUGAUGUGAAGUGUUCCUUAUUUAGCGAGUUUGAGUGUGCUCAAUUCUAAAUCAUAUAAGCCAUAUAAAUAAAUAAAUAAAUUAAUUAAUUAAUAACAUGUGAUUUAAAAAGUAACAAACAGUCUUUCUGCCUUAGUACAUAUUUAUCUUUAGGAUCAUUUUCUUUGGAGUUCCUGAAUUAAUUAUUUAUUUUAAUAGAAUGAGUAGAUUUAAAUUGACUAAACAUAGUACUUAAUUUUGGGAAUAAUAAACCUUGCCACUAAUCUAAGUAAAUUUUGUGAAUAAUAUUUAAUGAUGGCUGGUAAAAACUUAAAAUGUGAGGCUUACUUAAUGUGCAGUUUGCUUUUUAGACUCAAAAAUUAAAAGUUUUGCUCUAAGUAUUUACCUUAUUUAUGUUUUUCUGUCCUAUAAUGUGGCUCAUAACAGUUCAGAAUAUCUGAUAAACUUGUAAAUAUAAAUGCUCUUUUUUAUUGAAUAUUUUUAUUGAGUAUUUAUGGGAUUACUAACAGUGAUAAACACAACUUGGUUUAUAAGACGUUCAAUAGUUUGUUUCUAAUUUAUUCAACUAUGUAAAUUUUUAGCGUAGUUAACAUUUAAUUGAAAAUUAUAGUCCAAAAUAAUGGAUUGGGAAGAUAAACUGGUAGUCAGGAGACCCUAGGCUGUAGAGCUAGCUUUUUUUCUUCUAAUAGUGUGAUUUUGUAAAAGGUAUUUAAUGUCACUGAGCUUCAGUCUCCUUAAUUUAAAAUUAUAAGGUUCAACUUCUAGGCAUUUACAGUUUCUGUAUUUUUAAUUUUUUAAAAUAAUUCUUCCUUAGAGUUAGGCCACUUGGUAAACUGAAAAGGAGCAUAUUUUAAACCACAUUGUUUUAAAAAAAGAUUCUUUAGUAAAAAAGUCUGAAUUUAAUGUUAUAUAAUUAAUAAAUACACAUAUUUUAUAAUUUUUGAUUGCUUAGUUUGAGAAUAGUAGUACAACUUUUACAGUGCAUUUGUUUCAUUAUUAAAAUUACUAUUUCUUCAUUAUUUUCACAUAAUAUACUUUUAUAAUCCUUAUGAUCAGCAAAAUGCCUUAAAAUUCUCAAGAAAAAAAUGUAUAGUUUGCUUAGAAUUUUAAAAGCUAAAAAUUAAAAUUCAGUCCAGGUUUAUUAUAAUAGUAUAAUGUUAAAGACCUUUAUAUUAUGCAUCACAUAGUGAUAAAUUUUAUUUUGGAAAUCAUAAAUAUGAUUAUGAUAAAAUUAUUGAUGGAAACUGAAAUAUUAACAAUGAUUUUAGAAAGCUAACAGCAGGUUUUAGAAAUCCUAAUUUCUCUAAAAUAUUAUUAUACCAUUCUUAUUUAGACUGAAAGAGCCUUGUGAACUGCUUCUCAGUUUAAUCUAAUAGAUUAAGCUCUAUGAAUCCUUUGGUUGAGAUUUUCUAUUGAUAGCUGGCAGUUCUCUGUUAUAAAUAAAAAAUUAAGUUCAGAAGCCUUUGUAGGCAGUCUGUUUGGUUUUGCGGCAUAUGGAACUUUCUGAGCCAGGGUUUGAAACAGAGCCACGACUGUGACCUACACUGCAGUUUGCAGCAAUGCUAGAUCCUUUAGUUCUCUUUGCAUGGGCCAGGGACUGAGCCUGCACCUCCACAGCAACCCAAGCCACUACAGUCAGAUUCUUAACCCAUUGUGCCAUGGCAGGAACUCCUGUAAAGACAUUUUAAAAUCUAUUUGCCAUGUAUUACUCUUAUCUGAUUCUUAACAGUAAACUCAGAAUCAUAACUCUUAAAACUGCACCUUGACAGCAUGCAUCCAAUUUUAUUGUCUCCUCUUCUGGCCUGAAAUCACUAAUGAGACCCUGAAUGUCACAAGGCAAUGAGGAUUGCCCAUCAGUUGCAGAGCUUAGUCAACUGUGUAAUGAAGUCUUGUUUGUUUGCUUUCACUUAGUGAAUCUCGGCACAUUUUCAGCAGCUAGUGAUAUUGCUCAUGUCAUCACUUCUUAUAAAUGUUUUGCGUAAUUUUACUAACCAUUACUGAACUUUAUUUCAUUCUGUAUACCUCAUAAGCCAGUGCCAAAUUAAUUGGCACUAGAGCAGCUAAUAGGCAGUAAAACAGGAUAAUAACAAUACUACAAGGGAAAGCAUCAAAAUGAUAAGAAAUUUGAAAAUACAUUUACCAUAUUUCUUUACAUAUUUCUUUGACACAAGUAAAAAGCAAAUAUAUACUUAAUAUUAAAAAUACACAAAUAAAAGGAUUAUAUAACAAAAUAUAUGCCUUCUUUUGAUAUAUUUCUCCCAUUCCUAGUUUUAAUAGUCUAGUAUCCUUUAAAAGUUGGUAUCCAGGGAGUUUCCAUCAUGGCUUAGUGGAAAUGAAUCUGACUAGCAUCCAUGAGGAUGCAGCCUCAAUCCCUGGCCUCGCUCAGUGGCUUAAGGAUCUGGCAUUGCUGUGAGCUGUGGUGCAGGUCUCAGACAUGGCUCAGAUCUCACAUUGCUUGACUGUGUGGUGUAGGCCAGCGGCUACAGCUCUGAUUAGACCUCUAACCUGGGAAGCUCCAUAUGCCACAGGUAUGGCCCUUAAAAGACAAAAAAAAAAAAAA